rnacentral:rRNA from 1 species
GGCUCAGGACGAACGCUGGCGGCGUGCUUAACACAUGCAAGUCGAGCGAUGAAGCUUCUUCGGAAGUGGAUUAGCGGCGGACGGGUGAGUAACACGUGGGUAACCUGCCUCAUAGAGGGGAAUAGCCUUCCGAAAGGAAGAUUAAUACCGCAUAAGAUUGUAAUAUCGCAUGAUAUAGCAAUUAAAGGAGUAAUCCGCUAUGAGAUGGACCCGCGUCGCAUUAGCUAGUUGGUGAGGUAACGGCUCACCAAGGCGACGAUGCGUAGCCGACCUGAGAGGGUGAUCGGCCACAUUGGGACUGAGACACGGCCCAAACUCCUGCGGGAGGCAGCAGUAGGGAAUCUUCCGCAAUGGACGAAAGUCUGACGGAGCAACGCCGCGUGAGUGAAAGAAGGUUUUCGGAUCGUAAAACUCUGUUGUCAGAGAAGAACAAGUUGGAGAGUAACUGCUCCAGCCUUGACGGUAUCUGACCAGAAAGCCACGGCUAACUACGUGCCAGCCGCCGC